UACGGAGGGGGCUAGCGUUGUUCGGAAUUACUGGGCGUAAAGCGCAAGUAGGCGGCUUUUCAAGUCAGAGGUGAAAACCCGGGGCUCAACUCCGGAAUUGCCUUUGAAAAUGGAUGGCUAGAACACGGGAGAGGUGAGGGGAAUUCCGAGUGGAGAGGUGAAAUUCGUAGAUAUUCGAAGGAACACCAGUGGCGAAGCCGGCUCACUGGAACGUUGUUGACGCUGAGGUGCGAAAGCGUGGGGAGCUAACAGG
rnacentral:rRNA from 1 species